rnacentral:lncRNA from 1 species
AAAAUAGUAAAUAAUAAAAUUUUCCAAUUUUAAAUAUGAAAAAGCAGCUGUUUUUAAUAAAAUUUUCAUACUAUAUUAUAAUGUAGUGAAUGUUACUAAUGAUAACAAAAACAAAAUGCUAUAAUAAUUAUUGAAAUACAAUAUGAUUGUAUAUAUACAUUGUAUUAUGAUAACAUGCUUCUAUAAUUCGGUGUCCGAUAAUUGUAACGUAUUCGAUCCUUCAUAUAAAGCUCGUAAUGUACUGAUGAGGGACUCUUAUAGUAGUCCAAAAACGUUUUACAAUAAUAAACGUUGUGAAAAACUUGCUAGUAGUGCUGUUAUUGAAUCUAGAUAUUGUAUUGUGAUAAUUAUUAUGUAGUUAUUGUAUAAGAAUAAAGGUAUAAUAUUUUAAUUUUACCAUAACAAUAUAUGUGCAAGUCAUAUUUACAUAAUAUUAUAUAUAAAUAUGUCUUGUACAAAAUCUGACUUAUAGAAUAUUUAACUUCUGAAAAAUAUGCAUAAG